rnacentral:rRNA from 1 species
UACGUAGGGGGCAAGCGUUGUCCGGAAUCAUUGGGCGAAAGCGCGUGUAGGCGGGUCGGUAAGUCCGCUCUGAAAGCCCGGGGCUCAACCCCGGGAGGCGGGUGGAUACUGUCGACCUCGAGUCCGGAAGAGGCGAGUGGAAUUCCUGGUGUAGCGGUGAAAUGCGUAGAUAUCUGGAGGAACACCGGUGGCGAAGGCGGCAUCCUGGACCAACACUGACGCUGAGUGAGCGAAAGCCAGGGGAGCAAACGGG